CGUGUGGCCCGGUUGGAAUGGAGCACUACGCCAAAAGUUGAAGUCGGAUUUCUCAAAAAGAAAAAAAGGAAGCCGGAGACUUCGCAGCGACCGGCCGGCGCCGGCCAUGGAGAUGGAGCCGACCGGCCCGAGUACCAAGAGGAUGAGACCCGCGCCACCCGACAUCCACCAAUCGACGCCAGGUCCAGCGGAAACGACCGACCCGGAAGCCACGGCCGCGGGGAGAACCCAACACCCGCCGCCGGGAGCCGGGAGAGAUGGCGGCGAGGGAUCGCCGGACCGCAUCAGCGAUCUUCCCGACGCGGUCCUCGUCGAGAUAAUCUUCCUCCUCCCCACCAAGGAGGGCGCCCGCACCCAAGCCCUCGCGUCCCGGUGGCGCCACCUCUGGCGCGCCGCCCCUCUCAACCUCGACUGCCUUGGCCUCCCCGGCAACCUCCCCGGCGCCAUACUCUCCGCCCACGGGGGCCCCGUCCACCGCCUCUGCCUCCCGUCGCUCCCCCUCCCUGGACAGGCUCCAGGAGCUCGAGUUCUACCUGGAGCUGCCAAUAACAUACAGAUUUUCGUUCUCAAGGUUACAGCUGCUGCAACCACCAACGGCGUCCAUCUUCAGGUUCUCGUGCACUCUCCGCGUCGCCACCGUCAGCCAGUGCCAUCUCCCGGACAAUACUGUGGAGACGCUUCAGUUUCCCCUGCUCAAGAAGCUUGCGCUGGUGGAGGUCAAAAUCUCGGAGGGCUCGCUGCAGAGCAUCAUCGCCUCCGGCUGUUCUGCCCUGGAAAGCUUGUUGCUCAGGACUAGUUUUGACAUCCGUGGUCUCAGGAUCGACUCACCUAUCCUUAAAAGUAUAGGCGUUCAUUCUAGGUUUGUAGAACUCAUCAUUGAGGAUGCCCCUUCACUUGAAAGGUUGCUUUAUCUGAGAAUGGAUAUGAGAAUGCGGGUGUCAGUAAUCUCCGCACCUAGACUGGCGACCUUGGGUUACAUUUCUCAGGAUUCACAGGACUCCAAAAUCAUGUUUGGCUCCACUGUUAUUCAGAGAUUGCGCGUUGUUAGCCUGACAACGGUGGUGCCUACUAUCAAGAUCUUAGCUGUGAAUAUGAAUUCUAAUCUGGAUAUGGUUAUUGAGUUGAUGAAAUGCUUUGUAUGCUUGGAGAAAUUGUAUAUGAAGAUUCAGACAGAUUCACCAGCAGGGACAAAUUUCUGGCGUCAUAAACACCGGAAUUUUCUCACAUCUCAGAACAUUCGUUUGAAGACCUUAGUGCUGGGACAUUACCGAGGCAUCCAGGCACAAGUUAACUUUGUCACAUUCUUUAUACUGAAUGCAAAACUGCUAGAGUCCAUCAGGCUUGAGGUUGAUUCCAGGGAUUACAAUGAUGAAUUUUUCGCAGAACAAUGUAGGAUGCUUCAGAUGGAGAAAAGGAUUUCUAGAGGUGCUCAGCUCUGUGUUACAACAGGUUCUCACAAUGAUGUUUCGAGCACCGUUGACCUCAAUGAUUUGGAUUUGGCUGAUCCGUUCACAUGUAGAUGUUGAGAGGGGGGCCUGGCUCCUGGUUGAGUUAUUCUUGCGUAUCUCAUUCUGUGUUUUUGCCCAAGCUUGGACCAAACGACGAUGGCCAGAGUCAGCUAUAUUGUGAAGAUAUCAUCUGGGGGUGCUCGUUUUGAUUGUCCACUGGUACACCUCCCAGACGGUUCCAUUUGCAGUGAAGAUUGUACAGUGUCUUCUCAACGUCUAUUGCGAGUUAGCAUCGAGUUGCAUUCUUAUAUGCAAGAAGAAGACUCUGAAAGUACCUAUCUGAGUUUGCAUAAAGGAAAAUUUCUGUUGUUCUUUCCACUGUCUGACUAGGGUGUGUUGAACCGUGUUGUUCGAUUGACAAGAGCAUAGCUUCAGAUGGAGAAGAGGGUUUCUAGAAGUGCUCCCCUUUGUUUCAGAGCAGAUUGUCACCAUGAUGUUUCGAGUAUCGUUGAUCUCAGUGAUUUGGAUUUUUGCGAUCCCUUCACAUGUAGAUGAUGAAAGUCGGUCUGGCCCUUUUUGGAGUUAUUCUUGCAUAUCUCACUCUGUUUUGGUCCAAACUUAGCUAGUCUUUCUAACCUUGUUUUGUCCCUGAACUUUGUGUUAUUUAAACACUAAAAGUAAUCAGGACCAAACAACAAUGGCUGGAGUCAGCUAUA